rnacentral:rRNA from 1 species
CGGAGGGUGCGAGCGUUGUCCGGAAUCACUGGGCGUAAAGGGCGCGUAGGCGGCCUGGUAAGUAGGGGGUGAAAUCCUGCGGCUUAACCACAGGGCUGCCUUCUAAACUGUCAGGCUCGAGCACGGUAGAGGCAGAUGGAAUUCCCGGUGUAGCGGUGGAAUGCGUAGAGAUCGGGAAGAACAUCAGUGGCGAAGGCGGUCUGCUGGGCCGUUGCUGACGCAGAGGCGCGACAGCGUGGGGAGCAAACAGGAUUAGAUACCCUGGUAGUCCACGCCGUAAACGAUGGGCACUAGGCGUCGGGGGGAGCGACCCUCCCGGUGCCGUCGCUAACGCAGUAAGUGCCCCGCCUGGGGAGUACGGCCGCAAGGCUG